rnacentral:rRNA from 1 species
AUUGAUUUUAUGCUUGCAUAAAUGAUUUUUGGAUUCGGAGCGAGUGGCGAACUGGUGAGUAACACGUGAGUAACCUGCCCCGAAGCGGGGGAUAACAUUUGGAAACAAAUGCUAAUACCGCAUAAUUAGUCAGAACCGCAUGGUUCCGACUUAAAAGAUGGCUCUGCUAUCACUUCGGGAUGGACCCGCGCCGUAUUAGUUAGUUGGUGAGAUAAAAGCCCACCAAGACGAUGAUACGUAGCCGACCUGAGAGGGUAAUCGGCCACAUUGGGACUGAGACACGGCCCAGACUCCUACGGGAGGCAGCAGUAGGGAAUCUUCCACAAUGGACGAAAGUCUGAUGGAGCAACGCCGCGUGAGUGAUGAAGGGUUUCGGCUCGUAAAACUCUGUUGUUAAAGAAGAACAAGCAUGAGAGUAACUGUUCAUGCUUUGACGGUAUUUAACCAGAAAGCCACGGCUAACUACGUGCCAGCAGCCGCGGUAAUACGUAGGUGGCAAGCGUUGUCCGGAUUUAUUGGGCGUAAAGCGAGCGCAGGCGGUUUUGUAAGUCUGCUGUGAAAGCCCUCAGCUCAACUGAGGAAGUGCAGUGGAAACUACAAAACUUGAGUACAGAAGAGGAGAGUGGAACUCCAUGUGUAGCGGUGAAAUGCGUAGAUAUAUGGAAGAACACCAGUGGCGAAGGCGGCUUUCUGGUCUGUUACUGACGCUGAGGCUCGAAAGCAUGGGUAGCGAACAGGAUUAGAUACCCUGGUAGUCCGUGCCGUAAACGAUGAAUACUAGGUGUUGGAGGGUUUCCGCCCUUCAGUGCCGCAGCUAACGCAUUAAGUAUUCCGCCUGGGGAGUACGACCGCAAGGUUGAAACUCAAAGGAAUUGACGGGGGCCCGCACAAGUGGUGGAGCAUGUGGUUUAAUUCGAUGCUACGCGAAGAACCUUACCAGCUCUUGACAUCUUCUGCCAACCUAAGAGAUUAGGCGUUCCCUUCGGGGACAGAAUGACAGGUGGUGCAUGGUUGUCGUCAGCUCGUGUCGUGAGAUGUUGGGUUAAGUCCCGCAACGAGCGCAACCCUUAUUAUUAGUUGCCAGCAUUUAGUUGGGCACUCUAGUGAGACUGCCGGUGAUAAA